GUAGCAAAACUAUUCGCGAAGGUCCUCUCCAUCAGGCUUGUUGGCAUCCUGGAUCAGCUGGUUUCCCCCGCCCAGAGCGCUUUUUUGAAGAAGAAAGGAACACACGACAGUUUCCUCUACGUUCAAAACACGAUCCGGAUGUUCCAGAGGAAAAAAUCACCGGCGCUGCUGCUCAAGAUUGACAUCGCCAAAGCUUUUGAUUUGGUAUCCUAG
rnacentral:rRNA from 1 species